AUCAACGCUGGCGGCGCGCGCCUAACACAUGCAAGUCGAACGAGAACGGCUUCAGCAAUGGGGGCCUAGUACAGUGGCGAAACGGGGUGAGUAACACGUGGGUAAUCUACCUUCAAGUGGGGGAUAACCCGGGGAAAACCUGGGCUAAUACCGCAUAAUAUCCGCAAGGAUCAAAGGAGCAAUUCGCUCGAAGAUGAGCCCGCGGCCGAUUAGCUAGUUGGCGGGGGGUAAACGGCCCACCAAGGCUCUGAUCGGUAGCCGGUCUGAGAGGACGCACGGCCACACUGGAACUGAAAACACGGUCCAGACUCCUACGGGAGGCAGCAGUGGGGAAUCUUGCACAAUGGGGGGAAACCCUGAUGCAGCGGACGCCGCGUGGGUGAUGAAGCUCUUCGGAGUGUAAAGCCCUUUCGGCAGGGAAGAGAUAAGACGGUACCUGCAAAAAGAAAGCCCCGGGCUAACUACGUGCCAGCAGCCGCGGUAAUACGUAGGGGGCCAGCGUUGUUUCGGAAUUACUGGGCGUAAAAGAGUGCGUAGGCGGUGUGCGAUGUGUUCGGUUGUGAAAUCUCCCGGCUCAACCGGGAGGGGGCCAUCGAAAACUGUCCGCGCUUCGGGUACGGGAGAGGGGAGUGGAAUUCCCGGUGUAGCGGUGUGAAAUGCCGUAAGAGAUCGGGAGGAAACACCAGUGGCGAAGGCGGCUACCUGGGAACCGAUAUUGACCGCUGAGGACGCGAAAGCUAGGGGAGAGCAAACAGGAUUAGAUACCCUGGUAGUCCUACGCCCGUAAACGAUGAUUACUAUGGUGUUUGCCGGGUAUUGAACCCUCGCAGGUGUGCCGGCAGCUAACGCAGUUAAGUGAACUCCGCCUGGGGAAGUACGGUCGCAAGGACUGAAAACUCGAAAGGGAAUUGACGGGGGGCCCCGCACAAGCGGUGGAGCAUGUGGUUUUAAUUCGACGCAACGCGCAGAAACCUUACCUGGGCUUGACAUCCGCGGAAACCUCUGUGAAAGCAGGGGGUGCCUUCGGGAAGCCGCGAGACAGGUUGCUGCAUGGCUGUCGUCAGCUCGUGUCGUGAGAUGUUGGGUUAAGUCCCGCAACGAGCGGCAAACCCCUAUCCUUAGUUGCCAUCAUUCAGUUGGGCACUCUAAGGAGACUGCCGGUUGUCAAACCGGAGGAAAGGUGGGGGAUGACGUCAAGUCCUCAUGGCCCUUAUGUUCCAGGGCUACACACGUGCUUACAAUGGCCGGUUACAAAAGAGCCCGCGAUACCGCAAGGUGGAGCCAAUCUCAAAAAAAACCGGUCUCAGUUCGGAUUGGAGUCUGCAAACUCGACUCCAUGAAGUUGGAAUCGCUAGUAAUCGCGGAUCAGCUUGCCGCGGUGAAUACGUUUCCCGGGUCUUGUACACACCGCCCCGUCACACCAUGGGAGCGGGUUUCUGCCAGAAAGUAGUUAGCCUAACCGCAAGGGGGGCGAUUACCACGGCAGGGUUUCGUGACUGGGGUG
rnacentral:rRNA from 1 species